GAAUACACAUUAGUUUUCGCACUCUAACUUUAGUUUAAGUGAAUGGAUCUCAUUGAAAUUUUACCAUAAGGUUCAAUACCACAAAAGGAAGGUGGGGAUUGAUUUUGGGGGUUAUGGUACUAACAGUUAAGGAAUUAGGGGCCAAAAGGGGCCAAAAAUAAGCAUUUUUGUAACUUCCAGACAUAACUUGUGUGUAAGUGUAUGGAUCUCUCUGACAUUGUACCACAAGGUUCCAUAUCACAAAGGGAAUGCUGGGAUUGAUUUUGGGGGUAAUUGUCUCCAAAUUUUAGGAAUUAGGGGCCAAAAAGGGGCAAAAAACAAGCAUUUUUCUAGUUUCAUGACAAUAACUUGCUUGUAAGUGUAUGGAUCUUUAUGAAAUUGUACUACAAGGUUCCAUAUCACAAAGGGAAGGCUGGGAUUGAUUUUGGGGGUUUUCACUCAAAAUUUUAGUAAUUAGGGGCCAUAAAAGGGCAAAAAAACAUGCAUUUUUCUAGUUUCAGGACAAUAACUUGUGUGUAAGUGUAUGGAUCUUUAUGAAAUUGUACUGCAAGGUUCCAUAUCACAAAGGGAAAGCUGGAAUUGAGUUUGGGGGUAAUUGCCCUAAACGUUUAGGAAUUUGGGGCCAAAAAGGGGCCAAAAAACAAGCAUUUUUCUAGUUUCCAGACAAUAACUUGUGUUCAAGUGUAUGAAUCUCUCUGAAAUUGUAGUGCAAGGUACCAUACCACAAAGGGAAAGCUGGGAUUGAGUUUGGGGGCGGUGAAUCAUAAGGGGGUUCAAAAAAUUGGGGGGGGAUUUUUUUUUUCCUUUUUUUUCUUUAACAUUUUCCAUUUUAAAUUGGUUAUUUCUGAUUUAUAUAUAAAAGCAAAUAAUAAUGAUAUGGUUUGAAUAGGCAUACAUGUGAACCUCCCGACGGGAGUACAAUAAUCCCGUUUUCAGGGGUCUCCUCCCGACCUCCCGUUGAAGAGGAAAAAAUCCCGUGUAUGAAAUUUUUCAUGAAUGAAAAAUUUCUGCCCAACAUAUCAUCUCAGGCAUCUGGUGUAACUGACAUUACCUGAAGUUAUAUUUUACCUGUAAAUCAAUUAACAUGCAUAAUUAUAUGGCUUCACUUGUCAGCUUGGGUGUCAAACAUACUGGUAAGCAACGAUUUUUACCUCAGGCUAACUGCCGUUGUGUAACAAAAACUGUGUAUUUAUUGGGUUACUUCCCUUGAUUUAUCCUGUUUUAAGUUACUUUCCAUUUAAUAAUGAAAAUUUUUAAAAGAAUAUAAAUAAAAUAUAAAUUGAACAAAUAAUCAUAAAAGGAUGGUUAUUAAAUGAUUUUAAAUGUCUUAGGACAAAUAAAAAAAUAAUAAUUUGAAAAUUAUUUGAGGAUUCUAUACUUCCUUUUAAGGCUUAAAUUGAAAUUUAUAUAAUAACUAUGACCCUAACUUUACAGAUAGAAUGAAUUUCUGAGUUUGCAAAUAAAAA